GCAGCCGCGAAACUCUAAACUGCCGACAGUGCGAUAUGGGGAUCUCAAGUGCGCAGGCAUAGAGCCUAUGCUUUUGGCACCCUAUGGAGGUGCCCGAAUAAGGGAUGGGCAAGACCGGUGCCAGCCGCCGCGGUAAUACCGGCAGCCCAAGUGAUGGCCGAUCUUAUUGAGCCUAAAGCGUCCGUAGCUGGCCGCGCAAGUCCAUCGGGAAAUCCACCCGCUCAAUAGGUGGGCGUCCGGUAGAAACUGCGUGGCUUGGGGCCGGAAGGCGCGGCGGGUACGUCCGGGGUAGGAGUGAAAUCCUGUAAUCCUGGACGGACCGCCGAUGGAGAAAGCACGUCGAGAGGACGGAUCCGACAGUGAGGGAGGAAAGCCAGGGUCUCGAACCGGAUUAGAUACCCGGGUAGUCCUGGCCGUAAACAAUGCCUGUUAGGUGUGGCUCCCACUACGAGUGGGUGCUGUG
rnacentral:rRNA from 1 species